rnacentral:rRNA from 1 species
UGGGGAAUUUUGGACAAUGGGGGAAACCCUGAUCCAGCCAUCCCGCGUGUGCGAUGAAGGCCUUCGGGUUGUAAAGCACUUUUGGCAGGAAAGAAACGUCAUGGGUUAAUACCCCGUGAAACUGACGGUACCUGCAGAAUAAGCACCGGCUAACUACGUGCCAGCAGCCGCGGUAAUACGUAGGGUGCAAGCGUUAAUCGGAAUUACUGGGCGUAAAGCGUGCGCAGGCGGUUCGGAAAGAAAGAUGUGAAAUCCCAGAGCUCAACUUUGGAACUGCAUUUUUAACUACCGGGCUAGAGUGUGUCAGAGGGAAGUGGAAUUCCGCGUGUAGCAGUGAAAUGCGUAGAUAUGCGGAGGAACACCGGUGGCGAAGGCAGCCUCCUGGGAUAACACUGACGCUCAUGCACGAAAGCGUGGGGAGCAAACAGG